AUAUAAUCAACCUUCAACUUGUUUGAGUGGUUUGGAUGUGGGGGUUUGCUGGCCUCUCAAAAGGUUUCAGCUCCUCUGAAAUGCAUUAGCAGAACAAACCUUGUUCAUUGGUGUGAUAACUAUCUACGCUUAUGAAUGUGAGGGGCAGUUCAGCUUUCUAAUCGUCUUUGGACAAUUCAUCAUUA
rnacentral:misc_RNA from 1 species